GACGAACGCUGGCGGCGUGCUUAACACAUGCAAGUCGAGCGGUAAGGCCCUUUUGGGGGUACACGAGCGGCGAACGGGUGAGUAACACGUGGGUGACCUGCCCUCAGCUCUGGGAUAAGCCUGGGAAACUGGGUCUAAUACUGGAUAUGACCUUUCCUCGCAUGGGGUUGGGUGGAAAGUUUUUCGGCUGGGGAUGGGCCCGCGGCCUAUCAGCUUGUUGGUGGGGUGAUGGCCUACCAAGGCGACGACGGGUAGCCGGCCUGAGAGGGCGACCGGCCACACUGGGACUGAGACACGGCCCAGACUCCUACGGGAGGCAGCAGUGGGGAAUAUUGCGCAAUGGGCGGAAGCCUGACGCAGCGACGCCGCGUGGGGGAUGACGGCCUUCGGUUG
rnacentral:rRNA from 1 species